CCUACGGGCGGCUGCAGUGGGGAAUAUUGGACAAUGGGGGGAACCCUGAUCCAGCCAUGCCGCGUGUGUGAAGAAGGCCCUCGGGUUGUAAAGCACUUUCAGUGAGGAAGAACGCCUGGUGGUUAAUACCCAUCAGGAAAGACAUCACUCACAGAAGAAGCACCGGCUAACUCCGUGCCAGCAGCCGCGGUAAUACGGAGGGUGCGAGCGUUAAUCGGAAUUACUGGGCGUAAAGCGCGCGUAGGUGGCUUGAUAAGCCGGUUGUGAAAGCCCCGGGCUCAACCUGGGAACGGCAUCCGGAACUGUCAAGCUAGAGGGCAGGAGAGGAAGGUAGAAUUCCCGGUGUAGCGGUGAAAUGCGUAGAGAUCGGGAGGAAUACCAGUGGCGAAGGCGGCCUUCUGGACUGACACUGACACUGAGGUGCGAAAGCAUGGGUAGCAAACAGGAUUAGAUACCCCAGUAGUC
rnacentral:rRNA from 1 species